rnacentral:rRNA from 1 species
GACGAACGCUGGCGGCGUGCUUAACACAUGCAAGUCGAACGGAAAGGCCCUGCUUUUGUGGGGUGCUCGAGUGGCGAACGGGUGAGUAACACGUGAGUAACCUGCCCUUGACUUUGGGAUAACUUCAGGAAACUGGGGCUAAUACCGGAUAGGAGCUCCUGCUGCAUGGUGGGGGUUGGAAAGUUUCGGCGGCUGGGGAUGGACUCGCGGCUUAUCAGCUUGUUGGUGGGGUAGUGGCUUACCAAGGCUUUGACGGGUAGCCGGCCUGAGAGGGUGACCGGCCACAUUGGGACUGAGAUACGGCCCAGACUCCUACGGGAGGCAGCAGUGGGGAAUAUUGCACAAUGGGCGGAAGCCUGAUGCAGCAACGCCGCGUGCGGGAUGACGGCCUUCGGGUUGUAAACCGCUUUCGCCUGUGACGAAGCGUGAGUGACGGUAAUGGGUAAAGAAGCACCGGCUAACUACGUGCCAGCAGCCGCGGUGAUACGUAGGGUGCGAGCGUUGUCCGGAUUUAUUGGGCGUAAAGGGCUCGUAGGUGGUUGAUCGCGUCGGAAGUGUAAUCUUGGGGCUUAACCCUGAGCGUGCUUUCGAUACGGGUUGACUUGAGGAAGGUAGGGGAGAAUGGAAUUCCUGGUGGAGCGGUGGAAUGCGCAGAUAUCAGGAGGAACACCAGUGGCGAAGGCGGUUCUCUGGGCCUUUCCUGACGCUGAGGAGCGAAAGCGUGGGGAGCGAACAGGCUUAGAUACCCUGGUAGUCCACGCUGUAAACGGUGGGUACUAGGUGUGGGGUCCAUUCCACGGGUUCCGUGCCGUAGCUAACGCUUUAAGUACCCCGCCUGGGGAGUACGGCCGCAAGGCUAAAACUCAAAGGAAUUGACGGGGCCCCGCACAAGCGGCGGAGCAUGCGGGUUAAUUCGAUGCAACGCGUAGAACCUUACCUGGGUUUGACAUGGAUCGGGAGUGCUCAGAGAUGGGUGUGCCUCUUUUGGGGUCGGUUCACAGGUGGUGCAUGGCUGUCGUCAGCUCGUGUCGUGAGACGUUGGGUUAAGUCCCGCAACGAGCGCAACCCUUGUUCACUGUUGCCAGCACGUUAUGGUGGGGACUCAGUGGAGACCGCCGGGGUCAACUCGGAGGAAGGUGGGGAUGACGUCAAGUCAUCAUGCCCCUUAUGUCCAGGGCUUCACGCAUGCUACAAUGGCUGGUACAGAGAGUGGCGAGCCUGUGAGGGUGAGCGAAUCUCGGAAAGCCGGUCUCAGUUCGGAUUGGGGUCUGCAACUCGACCUCAUGAAGUCGGAGUCGCUAGUAAUCGCAGAUCAGCAACGCUGCGGUGAAUAAGUUCCCGGG